AAUGAUAAAAUCGCAGAUGUUAAAUUGCACCAGAAGGAAUAAAAUGUUGGAACCCAGCUUUUGAUAUUACGCCACAUCAUUUAAUCACGGGAGGUAUCAUCACAGAACAUGGUGUUUUCACGCCUGAAAAACUUCAUGAAAUACAUCAUCGUGAAAACAAAGAAUAAAAUCGUUUGCAGUUUAAUUAGUAAUCGUGCUUUUUCAACGCUGUCAAUGCUAUUUUUACAUUCCAGUUUUUACAUGUGUGUAACUAUUGAUCAAAUAAAUGUUACCUCAUUUUAAAUAAAAAA